ensembl:lncRNA SH3 domain-containing protein C23A1.17-like
GACAUGAGAAUAACUUCAGUAUGAACACCAGAGAAGAUCCAGGAAAUGGCUUCAGCCAGUGCAGCAGCUGUGACGCCCGUCCUUCAGCUGUUGGUGUCUGGACUGCCAGGAAGCUCUGUGUGAGGACUGUGUUUCAGCCCAUCGAAGGGUCUCCGUCACCAGAUCCCACCGGCUGCUCAACCAGCCCCCUGCAGAAGGUAGCUCCAACCCUCCCACCAAAUUCUGCAGACUGCACCCAUCUGAGCCGCUCAAACUCUUCUGCUUCACCUGUAACCAGCUCACCUGUCGGGACUGUCAGCUCACGACCCACAUGAACCACAGGUACGAGUUUGUUAGUGAAGCACUGGACGGGCUGAAGAAGCAGCUGGAGGACCAGGUGGAUCCAAUCAGAGCCCGGAGAGACACCAUGAAGCGGACACUGCAGGACAUGGAGACCAGGGUGAAGGACAUUGUUCAGAACGAGUCUUGUCUAAAGGUCCAACUGCACCAGUCGUACGAUGCCUUUCUACAGCACCUGCAGAAAAGGAAGGAGAACCUCAUUGAGGAGAUUCAGAAGGUGCACCAGUCUGAGCUUGACUGGAUUCACAUGAGGAUGGCGCAGAUGAGGGAGCUGCACAAAAGUCUACAGGCAGUGACUGAUGCUGCAGACGACGCCAAAAGCACCAACGACCUCAUGAGCCUGCAAACCUACCGAGCGCAGAUUGAGUCUCAGCUGAAGAAUCUUCCAGGUCUGAACUUGCCUCUUCCUAAGCUCAUUCCUCAAAUGAAGGUCGUCACGGACAGUAACUCCCUGAUGACCGUUUUAAACUUUGGGAACCUUGAGAUAUCGUGGGUGCCCUUCUCUGUGUCCUCACCUCAGGACCCAGAUCCUCCAGACACCUGCUCCGUCCUUUCUCCCACCACCAUUACCGGCCUACAGUCCACACAUGGCCUUCAAACAGAGACCAGUAAUGACUCUGGUUUAGCUGCUCCAGUGCAAAGCACUGCAGCUUCCUCCUCUGGUCACCAGUGUCCUCCAACCUGCUCCUCCUUUGUGCCAAGCUCUACCUCCACCUCCGCUUCUACAGCCGGUUCUCCCUCUUCUGCCUCCAGACCUCCUUUACAAACUGUAAGCUGCAGCUCAGGUGCUCCAGCAAACCUUCCUCCACCAGGUCAGCUAUGGCUCCUACCACCUUCCUCUGUCCUCACAGGCUUUUCCUCGGCUGCUCCUCCAUCAUCUACCUGUGCCAAGCACCAAACCACAGGCCUGAAUGCCACCACUGAACAAUGCUGGGACACGCAUUUGUCUUCUCUUCAGAAGUAUGUGAACAAAAAGCCUCUUCCUCCUCGUAGCUUUGACUCCUCUAUGUCUUUGUUCACCGUAACACAACCUGACUCUAAAGCUGUCUGCCAGACUGGGACCAGCAACAGUGUUUUACUGUCCUCAGCUGCCCCCUCCUCCUCCUCAUUAUGCUCCACCUCAGGCUCCUUCUCCAUCUCCUCCCCUUUCAUCCCCGCCCAACCAAUUUCUACCCUGCAGCCUAAUCAGUCUUCAUCUCUGAACAGCCCUCAGUCUGUGCCCGUGGGUUCACACCAGCCACCUUCUCCCAGUCAGAACCAGCCUGCUGUCAUCCUGCUGUACAGAUCUACCCUGCUUCCGCCUCUACCUCAGCCUUCCAGACGGGGAUAUACAGUUACAGUACAGGCCGCUCCGGUAUUGAGCAGUGCUGUGACAGUUCCUUCAGUCACUGCAGAAAAUCAAAUCUUUGUUGGACCUAGUCCAAAGGCACAGUCAAACCAAACUGUGGUGGAGCUGUCCCCCCAGCCCGUCCCCUCUGGCCCAGCGUCGUCCCCCCAGCCUGUCCCCUCUGGCCGGGAACCGCACCCGCAGCCCAUCCCCUCUGGCCCGGAACCGCACCCCGUCCCCUCUGGCCCAGCGUCGUCCCCCCAGCCCGUCCCCUCUGGCCCAGCGUCGUCCCCGCAGCCCGUCCCCUCUGGCCCGGAACCGCACCCGCAGCCCAUCCCCUCUGGCCCGGAACCGCACCCCGUCCCCUCUGGCCCGGCGUCGUCCCCCCAGCCCGUCCCCUCUGACUUUACACCUGAUUCCUCGUCACUAGAACAUGAGGACCUGAGUCAUGUGGUGAAGGCAGUGGCAGACUCUGCCUGUGAUCACGGCAUGCAGCAGGUGGAGAUGAAGCGGCAGGAACCUGCUGAGAACGAACCCACCUCCACCAUGUGUGAAGAAACCGAACCCCUCCAGUCCAGAAGUGAAACGGCGGACAGCGAUUCUGAAGAUCCGAGUGGCCCUGGACAGCAGGACAGCAGGUUGAGCCAGUGGCAACCCAAGGUGUGUUUGUUCAGGCUGCCCCUGCCCCCACCGCCACCCGGCUGCCCCCUCCCCACUUAUCGCCUGGCCCGAGGAUUCGCCAAGGAUGGGAUUUACCUGGAAGAGAUGAGGGACAACUGUGAGGUAGGGUGUCUACUGAUCAGGAUGUUGAACCAAUCAAACAGCUCGCUGAUGUGCAUCUAG